GAUGAACGCUGGCGGCGUGCCUAAUACAUGCAAGUCGAGCGAACAGACGAGGAGCUUGCUCCUCUGACGUUAGCGGCGGACGGGUGAGUAACACGUGGAUAACCUACCUAUAAGACUGGGAUAACUUCGGGAAACCGGAGCUAAUACCGGAUAAUAUAUUGAACCGCAUGGUUCAAUAGUGAAUGACGGUUUUGCUGUCACUUAUAGAUGGAUCCGCGCCGCAUUAGCUAGUUGGUAAGGUAACGGCCUACCAAGGCAACGAUGCGUAGCCGACCUGAGAGGGUGAUCGGCCACACUGGAACUGAGACACGGUCCAGACUCCUACGGGAGGCAGCAGUAGGGAAUCUUCCGCAAUGGGCGAAAGCCUGACGGAGCAACGCCGCGUGAGUGAUGAAGGUCUUCGGAUCGUAAAACUCUGUUAUUAGGGAAGAACAAAUGUGUAAGUAACUAUGCACGUCUUGACGGUACCUAAUCAGAAAGCCACGGCUAACUACGUG
rnacentral:rRNA from 1 species